GAGAACCCUCCCAUUCAUAGAUCGGCUCUUUACUGAUGGAGUUCCUCAGCUCUUCUUUCCCCUCUGUGGACUGCUCUGUGUUGUGGACCUUAUGAAAGUACAUGAGAGAAAAUGAGAAAUGUGCAUUAUUGCUUUACAUUCCUAGAAAUAAAUGUACCAAACUAUACGAUUCUUGGUACUUGCAGUGGUGAACCUGUUUUGUACCUUUUAUAGUGUGUAUAUUUUCAACCAUUAAAAAUAAUUUAUCAUACAUAAAACCACUCCUCUAAAAGCUAAUUAAAGGUACACAACAUGAUGGUACCACACCUGCGACAAUGAAGGCUACAGUUUGAUGCAUUUAUUUCUGAGAGUGUAACAUACCUUACUGUAAUUGCAAGCCAUUUUUAUAGACACAGAUCGGGAAGGAUUUCACUUAUAGUUCCAAUGUUUUAAACAUUAUAGACUGAAUUUGUUUUUAUUUAAGGCUUGUCAUUGAGAAUCUGUUUUGUUUAGUGAAGUCACCUAUUGCGACAGAGGUACAUGUCAGCACUGGUAGAAAUGUCAUUCCUUUUCUAUGAUACUGUUACUGUGGUUAACCUUAAUCUCAGCCACAGUCCCAGCCACACCCCUGCACAAUCCUCAUGAGAAUACAAUAACACUGAUCUAAAUAACUCAAACCUGGCUUUACUGCACACCCGUUGCUGUUAAGAUCAUUAUCUUUUUUCCUUUUUCUUUGAUAGCUGCAUACCUUAACUCUGCUGUAAGUGUCUGGUAUAAUCGCAGUGCCCCCAUUGAUCUCUAUGUGUUCCUUUAGGAGACCGAACCAGUUGUCCAUAUCCUCCUGGUUGGAGCAGUAGACGAUGAUGGGGUUUAAGCUGACACCUAAAGAGAGGAUACCUUACCUGUUGAGACAGGAAGCACCGUCAUAGCCUCCAGCUGCAUAUAACAGGCCAUGAAGCACUGCCACACCCAGACAGCUCCUCCUGGUUCCCAUAGAUACUUCUGGUUGCCAGCCGUUGGUCACAGGAUCAUAUGACUCAACAGUGGCCAAAUCAGACGUGCCGUCAUAUCUGACGUCAAGAAAUCAAAGGUUAAAGUCAACAGAAUUUAUAAUCAGAAGGAGGGAGCCAGAUAAGGGAUGAGCAACGUUUACCUUUUAACCGCUUAGAAAGUCACUGAUGUGCUAGCACAAGUUCAGGUAGAUGUACUCCAAGAAUAACAGAGAAAGCAUACCAGAGACAAGGAUAAGAGGCUCCGUACCCGCCUACAGCAUACAGCUUAUUCCCGAUAGCAGCGACUCCGACUCGGGCCCGUCGUGUAGACAUAGACGCCACCAUGUGCCAGCGGUCUGUCCUGGUGUCAUAGGCCUCACAGUCUCCAUGAAUAGCAAAGAGACUGCCGCCACCUGAGAGAGAUCACAAUGGAUCGCUUAAUUGACAUCAACUAGAAACCGGCCUCUCGUUAAAAUACUGAAAAUGUAUCUUGAUGUACUGACCCACAGCAAACAGCACAGGGCUGGCACCCUCACAGCGACGGGGCCGAGUGCGACAGUUACUCAGCACGCCCCUCUGCUCGGGCAUCAGGUGAUACUUCAGCGCCUCUAUCAACAGAUCUUUACACUCAGAGUGGUGGCGCACCAGAAGCUCUGUGUCCACGUUACCCAUCAGGAAGUCCCGCGUCAGCAAUGGCAGACGCACACACUUCAUCAGCUGGAGGAGAACGUUGCCCAGUGUGUGAGAUUGAAGCAGACAGGGAGCCAGAGAAGGGAUGACUGAGUAAUAGGUUAUAUAUGUGCAUUGGUAUAGACAGUAUACUUGACAGGCAGGGAUAGACUCACCCUGGGUACAUGCUGCCUCCGCCCAUCAAUAUCGUGUUUGACCCAGCUCAAUACAGCCCUGUACACUUCCUCCUCUGAUGGAACAUUCAAAUUGUCACUAGAGAUAAGGUCCAGCACCUGUAGCACACACACAAUACAGCAACAUACACUUUCAAUUUAUCCCAUUUGACACAUGUAUAUGCACAUAAGUAAUCUGAUAAUGGGAAAUCUCUGGAUCUACAUAAAUCAGUUAAUCUCUUUCAAAAUGCAUGGCAUACACAUCUCUACAAUUGCUGAAUUUCAGUUUACAAAUGAUUUUAUCCCAUAAACAUUUAUUUGGUAAUUAUUUUUGAAAGCAAAUUCCACACAAUGUACACUAAGCUAUUAAGUCUAUAGAGUUUUCUCCAUCUUGUUUGAUGUAGAAAAACCAAAAGAUACCAAUAAACAGUAUACGUGUGCUGAA